rnacentral:lncRNA from 1 species
AAGAGUGAGGCAAAAGAGCAGCAACCCAGCUGCACUUCUGCUGUAGCUGUACAGGGAGGCAGAUGAUCCUCAUGAGAGCCAGGGUCUGAAUGAAUACUUGUCUGUCUGCUCUGCUUCUCUGCUGUGUUACAGUGAGUCAGGCAUUUAUCUGUCUAUUCCUGCUACUCUGUACAAUAAUGGAAGGAUGUUUGAAGGAAGUCAUCUGACAACACUGGGCUUCACUGUUCCACCUGGUCCCCCACUUUUGCUGCUGAUGCUGCAAAUGCUGCUGAUGGAGAGAGGAGUCAUCUGCUCAUGGCACAUUCCUCCACAGAUUGUUUGUAAGGUGUUUGUCCUGUCCAGAUAAAGGCAGAGUUUCCCAAUUCCUGUAGCUCAGGAAAAAUCUAUCCUGAGUCUGGGAUUUAAGAUCAAGCAUGGGAUUGUUUGUCUGCAGAAUUGCUGACGUGCUUAAAGUGGCCAGACUGUCCAGAAGGAGACUCAUACGACCUCCUAUCAAUUUUCAUGCUGCAGUUGUUCUCCCAAGAAAAUAUGGUAUUUUGUUUGCUCUAGGUUUGAAAAUAAGGCAUUGUGAGGAGUUAGUAAUGCAGAUAGAUGUUCAGCUUUUGCUGAUUUCUCGUGCAUUCCUGGGAGACUGAUUGAUAUCCAUCCAAAUCUAGUGCCUCCUUAAAACUUUAAAAAAAGCAGAAACAAGACUCUAUCCAACUUGCUCAUUCUCUUUCUUCAUAUGGAGAAUAGGAGAAGAAUAUUACAUAUAUUUACUCAUAUGUGCUUGGUCUUGGCCUAAUGAGGUGAGAGGUACAGUACAGAAAUCACCUAGAAGCAAUGUUUUAUUAGACAACUCUUUAAACAUUCAGAGAAUAACAAAAUAAUUUCAAAGCACUCUCUAAACGAUAGAUAAUUGCAUUAAUAUUAUUAGAUGAAUAAAAGCACAUUAUUGAUAAUAGCUUCUGCCAUAGUAUCGAACACCUGCAUUCACUUUGCAUGUUUGGAGACAAAUUGUGCAGAUGGAGGCCAAGAGAAUACAGCACAAGGAGUUGAGCACUUCUUAACAUCAGAGUAUAAUAUGCGGUCAUUUUUGAGGAACUGAUGUAGAGGUUUAUACUCCUCUCCUUUUUCCACAUUCUCACACUCUUAUUCUCUCCUUCAGGCUCAGAUCAUCCAUAAUAAAGGUGUUAAAAAUCCUCUCCUCUUUUUUUGUGAAAAGCGGAAAAUUUCUUACUGCUCCUUAUACAAACUCAUAAUCAGUGAAUUUGCAAUACUGUCUUUCAACUGAGCAGACAUCUCCAACUUCUUGUUAUCUUUACCAUUAUCUUGGGGCAGAGUUAUUUGAGUCACAGUGACAGAUCAUUCAUAUCUCCUUCUGGAUAUUAAAUUAAUUUGAAAACUGAUUUUUGUUGUUGUUAGUUUUCUGUAAGUAAGUUUUGUUUACACUGUUUUGUUUUGUUUACACUGUGGGAAGAAGAUACAUUGGCUGCUAGACCUAUGAACUUAUUCUUCCUCAUCUGCAGACCUUAAGGAGUAAAAAAAAAAUAAGGUAAUGAUGUCCUUUGCUGAGAAGCUGACACUGGAUGCCAAGGGACAGCUUGGACUGAAGAGCACAGAUAUGAUAAAAAGGAUUUUGAGUUUCUUACAAGAUCUUUCAGAAUAAAUAAAAGAAUCCCAAUGAGAUGAUCUGUCAAGAAUGUAAGAAAAACAACAAAACAAGGGACCAUUAAAAAAUAAAGAAUCAGCUCAGGUCUGAAAACAAGCAGAUGAUGAGGAAGAAGAAAACAAUGUGUACCAAGGUCCAAACGUGUUCUUUCUGUCAGAAAACUCUUCUGAACACUUGCCCCAUGCUGAGCCUACUCUGGAGGAUCUCUCUGUCACAGAAGCCAGCAGGACAUCCUGCAGGAGGAAGGUUCUCUUGGGCACAGCCCUGACAGCAAAACUGGUGCAUGAAAUGGAGGUGGCUUCAAUGUUUUCCAAGCUAAGACUUUGGUUUAUGAGAUAACUAUUCCCAUGAGUAAUGCCCUUCUCUGUGCAUGACAAUUUACUGCAUCCUUGGAACUGAGUAGUAUAGUAUGUAUAUCUUUAUGAUUUACUAUGGAUGCACAUAGAUUUUAG